GAAUAAGAAACAAAUUUUGUAUUUAGUUUCGACCUAAAUUUUGGGAGCCCCCCUUAUUUA
rnacentral:tRNA from 1 species